UUUGUUUUGGUUUUGGCGGUGCGGAAAACAAAGGUAGCGCAUAACUAGGUUGAAAAAAGGGAAAGGAAAAGUGAAUUAAAGUAAAGCAAGAUGAGGCAAUCGAUGAUACAAGACAAUUGUAAAGUAAGGAGAUAGGUAAAUAGGAUUGGCGUGGUAGAGCGCGGGAAGGCAAAAAAGGAAAGCAGCGACAAGCUCAGAGAACUAUUAGAAACCUUGGUAGGAGGUUUGAGCGCUACGUAAGUAAAUAGAAGGGUUCAGCUUAACCUUUGCAAUCGGAAUAAAGGCAUGUAGGCCAAAUUAAUCAUUGGGUGGACGGCAUUUGAACAAAAUCAAAGGUUGUAUAAGCGAAGUUCGCUAGUGUCAACUAUGAUGAGACAACGGCAGUUGAAAAAGUGGGGAAUGGCAGUGAAACGUGGGGUGGCACUAAAAAAGAUGGAGGAAUCGGCAAAGAAGGCAAGCUAAGGUGACCUUUCGGUGGUGGGGCAAAUAGUGCAGUGCAAGGAGAGUAUUGAGGAUUUCGGCAGUUGGGGGAGGAAUAAAAUUGGCCAUAUACAGGAAAAAAAAAAAAUUUGCCAGCAAAUGGGUGAGAGUUGGAUUAAGAUGAUAGAGAUUGGAAGAUUUGCUAUAGAGCAUGCAGGCGAGUUUGAGACAAAUAAUCGAGUAUAGUUUGAUAAAUGCCGAAAGCAUGGAGUAUUGUGAUAUGAAGGUGUUGAACAGGUAAAUAAAAAAGGAGAGAUACCGAAAAAGGGCAAGGAAAUAUCUCAAUCAAGGCAAAAAAGAAGAAAAGAAAAAUAGAUAAAAUAAAAUAAAAUAAAUGAAAAGUAAUUGUAAAUAAACAUUGAAAAAGAGGGACAAACUAGAAUAAGGAAGAAAGUGGAGAAGAAGGGGCUGAAAUUAAAAAAAAAAAAAAAAAAAAAAAAAAAAAAAAAGGAGCGAAUAUUUUUUUUUGUCAAGACAGAGAGAAUGUGUGAUGAUGGACAAACAACAUACGAAAAAUUGAACGAUAUGAACAAUGUUGCAAUAAAG